ensembl:lncRNA novel transcript
GUCAUGGAGGCUCAAGAAGGGAAGGAGAGAUUACUUAGCUCUCACUGUGGGGCGGGCAGCAUUGUAACUUUCACAUAACUUAAAGAGGUUACGAUAGAGACAGCGCCGGGGCAAGCGAGAGCCAGACAGGCACUGGGUGACUCUGUGCCUCGCUGUGGAAAAACAACUAAACAUGGGCAAAGGAGAUCCUAAGAAGCCUAGAGGCAAGAUGUUGUCAUACGCAUUUUUUGUGCAAACUUGUUGGGAGGAGCAUAAGAAGCAUCCAGAUGCUUCAGUCAACUUCUCAGUUUUCUAAGAAGUGCUCAGAGAGGUGGAAGACCAUGUCUGC